UUAUUUUGUUUUGCUUGUGAGUAAGUAACAAAUUGUAAUACUCAAGGUUAGGUAGGAAAUUCUUCAUUGACAAAGAAAAAAUUCUCAACAAUGUUAAAAAAAUUUAAUGUUAAAAUUUUUUUGAUUACAUAUUUCGACAAUGUUUCACUUCUGACCAUAUAAUUCCAAAAUGUUUCAUUUUUUAACACAUGUUUCGAAAGUAUAUCAUAAAAAACAUAAGGCGCAUGCGGGGCCACGACGAGCGGGGGAGGUGGUACUGUCACACGCCGGACUAUGGAUAUACCUCUCUCUCGAUCCCGAUCUUAGUUAGGUUACGGAAUAGGCUCCUUAUCGUGCAGGCCGAGAAGAUAAAGAAGAAUAAAAGGGAAGUUGUUAUUUCUGUAUUUCAAUUAUAUGACUGUUUUGAUUUGUUCCUAAUUGUAUUUUGUCUCUUUGAGCACUUUUUGUUUAAGCUCAUGCAAAAUGAAGAAGGUGAUGGAUUUCGUUUGUGUGUGGACUCCCAUAAAAGAAAGAAGAACAUGCUGCAAUAAAUAAAAGGAGUUGUAACGUCAAAAACUGAUAUGAAAGCAACUAAAGCUGUGAUGCAAAUCAAUAGUGGAGCUAAAUGACAAUGAGGGGUAAAUUACUCUGACAAAAGCGUACAAAGAUUUCUUAGUUUGUUGUAAUAUUAUGGAAAAUUUCCAGAGAAUUUAUUUCAGUGA